CGGGGCGCCGGAUUUAAAGCGCUGGCCGGCGGGACGCGCCUCACUCACGCUCCCGCCGCCGCCCACGCUCCACGCCAUGGAGCGGCCGCCGCUGUCCGCCUUGCUCCUCGGUGCAGCCGGGCUGCUGCUCCUGCUUCUGCCCCUCUCCUCUUCCUCCUCUUCGGACGCCUGCGGCCCCUGCGAGCCGGCCGCCUGCCCGCCCCUGCCCCCGCGGGGCUGCCAGCUGGGCGAGACCCGCGACGCGUGCGGCUGCUGCCCGGUGUGCGCCCGCGGCGAGGGCGAGCCGUGCGGGGGCAGCGGCGCCGGCAGGGGGCACUGCGCGCCGGGGAUGGAGUGCGUGAAGAGCCGCAAGAGGCGGAAGGGUAAAGCCGGGGCAGCAGCCGGCGGCCCGGAGGUGAGCGGCGUGUGCGUGUGCAAGAGCCGCUACCCGGUGUGCGGCAGCAACGGCAUCACCUACCCCAGCGGCUGCCAGCUGCGCGCCGCCAGCCUGAAGGCCGAGAGCCGCGGGGAGAAGGCUAUCACCCAGGUCAGCAAGGGCACCUGCGAGCAAGGUCCCUCCAUCGUGACGCCCCCCAAGGACAUCUGGAAUGUCACUGGUGCCCAGGUGUACUUGAGCUGUGAGGUCAUCGGAAUCCCAACCCCUGUCCUCAUCUGGAACAAGGUUAAAAGGGGUCAUUAUGGAGUUCAAAGAACAGAACUCUUGCCUGGCGACCGAGACAACCUGGCCAUUCAGACCCGGGGUGGCCCAGAAAAGCAUGAAGUAACUGGCUGGGUGCUGGUAUCUCCUCUUAGUAAGGAAGAUGCCGGAGAAUAUGAGUGCCAUGCAUCCAAUUCCCAAGGACAGGCUUCGGCAUCAGCAAAAAUUACAGUGGUUGAUGCCUUACAUGAAAUACCAGUGAAAAAAGGUAGGUAAUAAAUCUCAUAACCAUUUAAAAAUGACUAGUGCUUUUGUUUAAUAAAGCACAGAACCAAGUAUGAAAGUAUCAGACAUAGCUCUUAAUGAAAUUCUGUGAUGUUAGGAAUCCACAAGGGAAGGACAUUAAGUAUGUAAUCAAAAUGUAGAGUGCAUGGCUCCAAAAGAACAUUCAGUGGUUGAUGGAAUGCUAUUAUUAUGACUCAGAUGCUUUCACUUUAUCUUACACAUAAGAGUCAAACCUGAUUGGAAUGGUUUAUAUUUCCCAUAACUUUCUAUCUAUCGUCACAGCAUUUUCCUUGGUGUUGUGACUAUUAUAUUAAAUUCCCAUUUAAAAGGAAAUGAUUGUAGACAAUUCUGGUCCUUCACUUUGAGCUUUUAUAAGAAAAAACCCAGAAAGAGUAUAUUGGCAAGUACUCAAUUCUGUUCUGCCUCUAUCCACUUCACUGUCAAAAGCUUCCUCUUAAGCAUCCAUCCUGGCGGUAUGAGAGUAAUGCUACUUUACAUUUAUAUAGAUCUAUUAGACUGAUGUCUGACUUGGUUUUUCCUUAAGCCAAAAAUAACGAAAUUUACUGUCAGCAUUUGUCAAAACCAUUCCACUGUGUGGAUCACUCAGCUGCGGUACGAAAGGAAGAAAUAUCAAGUAAAGAUGUGUUUGGUCAGAUUCUCUUCAGCCAAGAUGUGUAAAGUCAAGUGAUGAAACAGAGCAGUAGCUAAGAGUCAUGUGUUUGAGUCUCAGCUCUGCCACUAAUUAUUCCGUUUUAAAUUCUGAAUGAGAACUGGAUGACAAAGGAAAGUUCCUUGGCCUCUCUGGAUCUCACCUUGCUCAUCUGUGAAACAUGCUUCUCCCAGUUCUAUAGUAAGGUGAAGGUGCUGAGCUGUAAACCUGCAGAAUAUAUUAAUCUGCAUAGCUAAAAGUAGUCAUGGGUAACUACAACCCCUGUUCUUGCCUAAUAACCAGUUUCUUUUCAUCCAGUCCACUAACACUUUAGUUAUAUUCACUGGUUUUACACCAUGAAAUACAAAAUAAAGAUAACACAUCAAGACUGUCUACAAAAAUUUGUCUAUUUACAGAAGAAAAGCAUGCAUAUCAUUAAACAAAACAAAUAAAAUGCUUUUUCUCCUAGUGCAAGUA